rnacentral:snoRNA from 1 species
CUGGAGGCUGUGAUGACAAAAACUACCUACCUGUUUUCUGACUCAUGACGGUAGAAACCAAUGGAUGCUUCUGAGCCUUCCU